rnacentral:rRNA from 1 species
GGACGGGUGAGUAACGCGUGGGUAACCUGCCUUACACAGGGGGAUAACACCUGGAAACAGGUGCUAAUACCGCAUAAGCGCACAGGGCCGCAUGGCCCGGUGUGAAAAACUCCGGUGGUGUAAGAUGGACCCGCGUCUGAUUAGCUUGUUGGCGGGGUAGAGGCCCACCAAGGCGACGAUCAGUAGCCGGCCUGAGAGGGUGGACGGCCACAUUGGGACUGAGACACGGCCCAAACUCCUACGGGAGGCAGCAGUGGGGGAUAUUGGACAAUGGGGGAAACCCUGAUCCAGCGACGCCGCGUGAGUGAAGAAGUAUUUCGGUAUGUAAAGCUCUGUCAGCAGGGAAGAAAGAAAUGACGGUACCUGACCAAGAAGCCCCGGCUAACUACGUGCCAGCAGCCGCGGUAACACGUAGGGGGCAAGCGUUAUCCGGAAUUACUGGGUGUAAAGGGAGCGUAGACGGUGAUGCAAGUCUGGAGUGAAAGGCGGGGGCCCAACCCCCGGACUGCUCUGGAAACUGUA